AAUGCACCAAUUUGUAAGUCGCUCUGGAUAAGAGCGUCUGCUAAAUGACUUGCA
rfam:Salmo salar isolate Sally breed double haploid chromosome ssa19, whole genome shotgun sequence.